AAAAUCCGUCGACUUUUAAAAUCGUGAGGGUUCAAGUCCCUCUAUCCCCAACCUCCAAAA
rnacentral:tRNA from 1 species